AACGUAGGACGCAAGCGUUAUCCGGAAUUACUGGGCGUAAAGCGCGUGUAGGCGGUUGCACAAGUCACUGUUGAAAGCUCCCGGCUAAACUGGGAGAGGUGCGGUGAGACUGUGCGGCUAGAGUAUGGGAGAGGGAUGCAGAAUUCCGGGUGUAGUGGUGAAAUGCGUAGAGAUCCGGAGGAAUACCAGAGGCGAAGGCGGCAUCCUGGCCUGCAACUGACACUGAGACGCGAAAGCAUGGGGAGCGAACGGG
rnacentral:rRNA from 1 species